rnacentral:lncRNA from 10 species
CUCAGUCGUUGCCUCCCACUGUCUGUUCUGCUCAGUGCCUCAACGUAGUCAGCACAUCGUGGUCUUUUCAUUCACACAUUUCCUUUCCCAUCUGGCGACCUAACUCAUUGUCAAGCUUCACUUUCGCUCAUUGUGCCCUUGGCACAUCGUUUUCCAGUAGACAGGGCGGAUGGACGGUCACACCGACACCAUCAGCUCUGACCUCUCCCCUUCAGAGAGGUCUCCUUUACACUGGUCUCACAUGCUACAGAUUUCACUUCACUUGGAUUGCAAGCAUUUUCCUUGAAUUCAGCACCUCAACAUUGAAAACCAAAGUUUGUUCAAAAUAGGCUUCUUUUCCCCCCAACCCAUUUUACUCAGUGGCCUUCCUGUUACUCUCUCCUCUCAAAGCCUGGAAGCCUUUACUUAUUAUGCUUCUCUCACUUUCUGUCCAGUAUCUCAGUCCUUCAAAUAUUUUGUUUGAUUAUUUUAAUCAAAUUAUUUUUAUUAUUUUGUAUUUAUUAUAUUUUGUAUUAUUAUAAUCAUGUCUCUUGGGGUUCAUCUGAUUUCUAAGACGUCAGGAAUUUGGGCCUGAUUUUUUAGAACUGUCUCGCUGCCUCCAUUUUCCCCCUCUCUAGUUUUUUUUUUUUUUUUUGUAUCAUUGUCAUAUUAAUCUUCUCAAAACUCCAUGUUCAUCAAGCUGCAGCACCUACUGAGGCUUCCGAUGCCCUGACUGGCAGUAGGGCCUAAAUCACUUCUUUUCUGCUGAUCUCCAAACUGCACUCUAUUUUGCCAAGCAGGUCUUCCCCACUCUUCCUGCUCCCAACUCCGCACCUAAGCCCCAGGCUCUUCUCUCAGUCUAGGUACCCUCUCUCCGUAGACCGGUGUGUAUCACAGAAGAUGACCCUACAAGGAAGGUCACUUGUUUAGCUCUGCAUGACCAUAGGAGCACCAUCACCUGCUGUGUGUCCUUCCAGCCCCUUCCUAUAGGUGGUCUUCCCUCCU